AACUUUGACAACUUUCUAAUUGUGAAACUGACACAAGAGGCAUCCGUAUAAUAAAUAGUCUUGAACACAAGAUACUUGACGAAGUUUCUAGUAUAUUAUAGCUCAAAGUGUUGGGUGUCUUAUUUACUCGGUUUCUAAUAGUCGAGGUUAGUGGCUCUCAAAGUUUUACGAUGCCCUCCUUUUAAGUGACUAUCCUAGAGAUGAAGUAUAUUCGGGUACUUGCUUUACACAAAGUAAUUGAACUAUUUAAACAAAUUUGAGUGGGUUUAAACUUUUGGUUUGUUUAGAACACGAUGUUUUGUAAAUAAUUCUUGAUGUUUUACUCAAUGAAAGCAGUUUGGUGGUAUUGAACAUUAGCUUAAAGUUAGCAUAAUGCUAUAUAAGCUAUUUGAGACAAAGAAAAAAUUACACGAACUAGAGGUCCCGCAGUAGUCGAAAUUCGACUAUAAUUAAUUGGAAUUCAAUGAUUUUUAUAACGAAAAGUUGGACUUAAUAAACGCUGAGAAUAAA